AGUUGGAUUGGAAGUUCAAGGGAUGCAUCUGUUCCAUUGCCAUGUAAAGGGGAUGUUGCACCACCUUCCCCAAGCGAUCCUGGAGUGAAGAAAGUUGCAGACAAAUUAGCAAGUUUGGUAGC